GUGUUGUAUAAACUUAAAAUAGCAUGAAGCUUGCAUGAAUAUGCAAAGGUUAUAUGCACUAUGAACUAUAAUUUAAUGAUUUUAUUUGUUAUUGAAAUAGGUAUGUGUAUAUUUAUUACUUCAUAAAAAGAAAUAUACGUGUACUUUUGUUUUAAUUACCAGGUAACAUUAUUAUUUCCUUGCCUUCCAUUUUGAGCAUUUAAUCUGUGCUCAUCUCUUUCUUUAUGUCAAUAUCAAAAUAAAUGUCGACAUUCUGAAUUAAUUAUUACCUUGACAUUAUUUAACUGAGAGGAAACCUUGUACUGUGUGCAGUGUUGUCUUCCUGGCCGCUGUUAUUCUCAUCUGUUAUAGCGGCAUCGGCAGUUGCCUGUUCUGGGCGAGCCAGUGUGACGGUGAAAAAUAUGACACUUAGCGCUUCCAAAAGCUAGUUCCGUCGUGCUCAAAGUGCAAACAAGUGUUCCUUUAACCGAGAAAAAAAGUGUCAAUGUGUAACCAAACAGCUCGGUUUAUACUCAUUGCCACUUAGGAAGACAUUAAGAACGAAACUGUAUAAGUAUACUUUUGUAAAUGAAAUGUAUUUUAUUUACCAUUUGUGGAGUAUUAGUAUGUGAGAUUGAUGAUGACAUGUACUUAUGUAUCUAGUUUCUUGUUAUUAUUGAUUAUGUGAUCGCAAUGAUUUUACAGUUAUUGUUAGUAAUAUAUGUUAUGAUAUUGGAAUAAAAAUGUCGAAACUAGAAUA
rnacentral:misc_RNA from 1 species